CACGAGGCAAGUGAGCAAGUGCUGUCAGUAUGUGUGCAAUGUGCGUUUAACGCGUAGAAUCUUGGAGUCGAAAUGAAAACAAAAAGAAAAAGAAAGAACGAAUGUGAAGAGAUCCUGAUGAAAUGAUGAACAGACAAAAUCACACGCAUUGGAUACACAAGCAAAGAAAGGAUGUAUAUAUUCCUCUGCUAAAAUUCCAAGUCUUAUUUGUGUCUUUACCAUUUCUAUCUGACUUGUAUUAAAGCCUAAACUAACCGCAUCGCUUCUCCUUUCAACGGUAUUUACUGCAAGAAUUGGUAAGUGGAAUUUUCGCACGAUUUUCUUCUCCUUCUUCUUCUUCUCCUCAUGUCUUUAAAUCUCUCCUUAAUUUAUUGAUAGAUUCCAGUUUGUAUUUUAUAUAUUCCUUCGUCAUCGUCGUCGCUGUAGAUUUUAAGUUCUUUUAAGUUCUUUAAUCCACUCCAGUCGGUCUCUGCCCGAGUAGAACUAUAACCAAACGGAAUCCAAUCGCGACCAUCUCGUUUUAUUAUCAUUUAUUGUAUAUUCAAUCAGUUCCUUCUAUUUUUCAUGAGCCUAGUGUAUAAUAUGAUGAGGGAUUGGCUGCUAUUUCUAACAGCUUCCAACAGCACCUACAGCCUUCCUUUCUUCCUUAUUUGAAUUCAAAGCCGCCAGAACUAUAUUAAAAAAACCUAGACAUGACCAUUUUAGCUUUUCUCUAUACAGUCUGUAAAGAACUACGUUAAGAAAUGUUCAUUCCUUACUAUUUAGCCCUAGAUGGAGCAGCAGGUCCUUACUCGAGAGGCCUUUCAUAUAUUUUCCGCCACUCCCCAAAAAUCCAAGUAGAAUUACACUACCGUUUCUCUCUUUUUUUAUUAAUUAAGAUAGUAAUUAGAGGGAAAUUUGUCGACUAUCUCUAGUAAUUUAGAGUUACGAAUUCAGACUUAAUUGUCCCUAGUUUAUGUAACCCUAGGUCAAGCCUUAUAGAGCUGACAGACAUACGAUGAAAAAGAAAUUCGAAGACCAUUUAUGCCUUUUCUACACAAUCUCCAUCAUAAAACUAUAUUAUUCAAUGUUUUUUUUAGCUUCAGACCAGACGUUUUACUUAAUCAAAACGUGACCAUCACGCCGUUUAUUCUAUUUCUCACAUCCAGACAUUGUAUACAACACCUAGAAUUACAUCAACCAUUUUAUUUCAUAACAUACUGGGGGGGGGGGACUAAUUAAAGGAGACUUUGGCUGUUAUUUCUAGCAUGUCGAUUACCCGCGUGGAGUCUGUCUUCCUUGUUCGCUUUUGGCAUGAUGUCUGUUAUUGACGUAUAGCCUCGGGUCGUCGACCCCGUGACUCUCAUAGUCCCUAUGAUGAAAAGGCGCUCCAUCUGUGACUAUCUCAUCGUUGUUAUUUCAUAACAUACUGGGGGGGGGGGGGCAUGAUUAAAGGAAACUGUGGCUGUUAUUUCUAGCAUGCCGAUUACUCGCGUGGAGUCUGUCUUCCUUGUUCGCUUUUGGCAUGAUGUCUGUUAUUGAUGUAUAGCCACGGGUCGUCGACCCCGUGACUCUCAUAGUCCCUAUGAUGAAAAGGCGCUCCAUCUGUGACUAUCUCAUCGUUGUGGCCGGAACUACAUCGUUCUGUGUCUUCGUUCGUGGAAUUCUUCAUCCUCCUUAUUCCAUCACAUCUAACAAAACCAGCAUCACUAGUUGUGUAGUAGUUGUUGUUUUAGCUCCAGGUUAGUCCUGGCAAAGCAGAUCGUGUCACAGGCCUUCCAACCGUGCCAGUCUUAUCUAUAUGAUUCACAUCUAGUGUUUCUAGGACUCCUUACAUUAUCUUCUGUGUUCUUGCUUGGUUUUAUAGAAAUUUAACUGUUGUUUCUAGCAAGGCCAAAUGGUUUAGAGCUCCGGAGUAGCUGACUGUAUCAAAGGCGUUCCAGCCAUGACAAUCCUGUGUAUUUUAUUCAUACAUGACUGCCUACAUUAUCUACAAUCAUAAAAAAAUUACCCUACUGUGUCUUUAUUUAUUUAAUAUAGUUUUAUGGAGAUUUAACUGCUAUUUCUAGCAAGGCUGGGCGACUACAGUCCUGACUAAGCAGAUUGUAUCAAAGACCGUGACAGCCCUUUCUUUUUUUAUUCCAGCCGUGACAGUCCAUUCUAUUUUAUUCAGUCAUAAGAUUAAUUACAUUAUCCACAGUAUCCUCGUUUAUUCAUGAUGGGUGAUGUAGUUUCACGAAGCUUUAACUGCUGUUUCUAACAGGCCGAGCAACUACAGACAGCCCUGGCAGAGAAGACCAUAUCGAAGGCGUUCCAUCCGUGACAAUCCCAUAUGAUAUUUUAUUAUUCAAACGUUAGCGCGCCUACACUGUCCACCGUGUCCUUGUUUUUUAUUCCAGACAGUAGACGUAGUUUUAUGAAGAUCUGGCUGCUAUUUCUAACAGGCCGAAAGACCACUACACAGGGGCGCCCUUCCCAUCGGGACUUAGCAAUAAUAAUAAUAGUAGUAGUAGUUGUAGUAGUAGUAGUAAUAGUAGUAGUAGUAGUUAAAUUUUCCUUCGCUUGCCUCUUCUCUCUCCCCACGUGUCUUCAUCCUCCCCCUCCUCCUCUCCCCAUCACCCCUUCUGUUUUCUAUAGCGUUUUCGGUCUUUGUUCGUGUUCAAUUGAUCCCCCCCUCCUCUCGUUGUCUUACUCUCUCUUUUCCCCUCUCUCUUUGUUUCUCUCUCUUUCAUUCUAUGCCUCUUACCCAUUCCCUGUCUGCCACCCUCUCUUCUCUCUCUUCUCUCUCUCUUCCCCCCUCUCCUCUCUCUCUCUAUCUCGUCUUUUAUCCAGCCUCUUACUUAUUAUCUACGCAAAUUACCUCAUUAACCUAUCGUUGCCUGAUCUUUCCCAGCCAAAGACACUCCACCUGCUUGCACAUAUACCUGACAAAUCCCAAUCAAGUCACAUACUACCAUGUCGAAAUAACAUAAAUAAAUAACAUAAAUAAAAAAUAAGCUAAAACAAAAUAUUGGCUAAUAGGCGUAACCGCACAAGUGUGCCGACUUGUUUUCCUCAUCAUAUCGAUCACUCCAUUUGUUUUCACAUUAAAUACGUUUUAUCGUAAUCUACACCAUCUCAAAAGUAUUUGUAGAAAAUUUCAUCAAAAAAUACCCAUUUUCCUGUAAGUUAUGAGGAAAUAAAGUCAGUAGGGGUGGGAUACGCUUACUUGGUUAUGUCGGAUAAGAUAGUGCUCCUCUUUUAAAGAAAUAUAUAUAUUUCUUUAUUGCCCACAAGGGGCUAAACAUAGAUGGGACAAACAAGGACAGACAAAGGGAUUAAGUCGAUUACAUCGACUCCAGUGCGUAACUGGUACUUAAUUUAUCGACCCCGAAAGGAUGAAAGGCAAAGUCGACCUCGGCGGAAUUUGAACUCAGAACGUAACGAGAGACGAAAUACCUAUCUCUUUAUUGCCCACAAGGGGCUAAACAUAGAUGGGACAAACAAGUACAGACAAAGGGAUUAAGUCGAUUACAUCGACCUCAGUGCGAAACUGGUGCUUAAUUUAUCGACCCGAAAAAGGAUGAAAGGCAAAGUCGACCUCGGCGGAAUUUGAACUCAGAACGUAACGAGAGACGAAAUAUAAUAAAAGGAUGGUCGUAAAGUGGAAUGAUUUUGAAGGCCGCCUUUAGCCAAACGACAACACAAAUAGCUGCUUCCCAGAUUUCCUGUUCAUAGACGGAUGAACAUUGUUCUUUCACCUCUUGUUUGUUUAGCCUUUAGCACUCCACAACCACGACCACUACACCUCGUUUGAAGUAGAAAUUCAAUAUAAGAACAACGAAAGACUGGUUUAUUUACGAAAUACUUUGAAUUCUCUCUCUUUGAGAACUAUUUCAACAAGUAUUCGUGUACUUGCAAGAGAAGAGCAGCAGUGCAUUUAAAUAAUGGAUCGCUCGGUGUUUGGGGUUUAUAUGCAGCUGUGGAUGGGGUAGUUAGAAAGUUUGUUUUGCAACCACUUGAUCGUGGGUUCAAUUCAAUUGCAGAGAGCACUUCAACGAUAUAUAAACUCGCUGGUUAUGUGAACCCAUUGCACUGUUUGUUUUACAACUUUGUGAUUACGGGUUUGAUUUCAUUGUGCAGUUGCAGGGUUUAAUAUUACUUGGGUAACUGAAACCAAUUCAAGGUUCUAUCUAUCUAUCUAUCUAUCUAUCCCUAUCUUUGUCUGUCUGUCUGUCUAUCUAUCUCUGUCUGUCUGUCUGUCUAUCUAUCUCUGUCUGUCUGUCUGUCUAUCUAUCUAUCUAUCUAUCUAUCUAUCUAUCUAUCUAUCUAUCUAUCUAUCUAUCUAUCUAUCACUUUAUCCAUCUAUCUAUCUAUCUAUCUAUAUAUCUAUAUCUGUCUGUCUAUCUAUCUUUCUAUAUAUCUAUAUCUGUCUGUCUAUCUAUCUAUCUAUCUAUCUAUCUAUCUAUCUAUCUAUCUAUCUAUCUAUCUAUCUAUCUAUCUAUCUAUCUAUCUAUAUAUCUAUAUCUGUCUGUCUAUCUAUCUUUCUAUAUAUCUAUAUCUAUCUAUCUAUCUAUCUAUCUAUCUAUCUAUCUAUCUAUCUAUCUAUCUAUCUAUCUGUGUGUGUGUGUAUAUAUGUAUUAUUAAUUAAGAAAAUGGAGAGAUAUAAUGGUUAUAAAUUUAUUUAUUUAUUAAUUAACAUUGCCUACAAUUGUUUGAAUUUACACUCAAUACAAAUUACGAACAUGUAAUAAAAUACCAUCAUGAUAAGGAUCAUCGUUUUAAUGUCCACUUCUCCAUGCUUGCAUGGGAUAGACACAAUUUAUUGAGGCAGGUUUUCUAUGGUUGCAUGCCCUUCUUGUUACCAACCCUCACCUACUUCCUAUUUCUUUACUAACCACAAGGGGCUAAACACAGAGGGGACAAACAAGGACAGACAAACGGAUAAAGUCGAUUACAUCGACCCCAGUGCUUAACUGGUACUUAUUUAAUCGACCCCGAAAGGAUGAAAGGCAAAGUCGACCUGGGCGGAAUUUGAACUCAGAAUGUAGCGGCAGACGAAAUACCGCUAAGCAUUUUGCCUUGUGUGCUAACGUUUCUGCCAGCUCGCCGCCUACUUCCUGCCAAAGUAAUAGUUCCCCAUGGCCUGACAUAUUUUUACACAAAAUUGGAAACGAAAUGACACUGCUUGUAUGGUGGUGACACUCGUUUACAAUUAUCACCCAGUGCCCACACAAAGCGACACACAGACAUUCAUCCUAUAUCAUCAUUAUCAUUUAACAUCCGCUGUCCAUGCUGGGAUGGGUUGGAUGGUUUGACCAGGGCUGGUAAGCUGAGGGGCUGCACCAGGUUCCAGUCUGAUCUGUUAGGGUUUCUACAGCUGGAUGCCCUUCUUAACGCCAACCACUUCGUGAGUGUAGUGGGUGCUUUUUACAUGCCACCGGCACAGGUGCCAGGGGAGGCUGGCAGUGGCCACGAUCGGUUGGUGCUUUUUACGUGCCACCGGUACAGAAGCCAGUCAAGUGCGGUGCUGGCAUCGGCCACAUUCGGAGGGUACUUUUUACGUGCCACCGGCACAGGUGCCAGCGGACAUCGAUGUUAAUCAUACUAGGUUGUGACAUCUCUUUUUCCAUUGUGGCUGCUGUCUGCCUCUUUUCCUCUCUUUUUUUUUUUUCCAACCAGUUCACCUACUAAAAUUGAAGUGGACUUAAUAAAGUCCUUUGUUCUGAUAGAUAUUUUGCUGGAAAGUACUUUAAGAUCCCAUCAACCUUUUGGGUCAUGUAUUUCACCAAAUGGAAAUUGUAGUUGUGAUACUUGUGCUGGUGGCACGUAAAAAGCACCAUCCGAAUUUGGCUGAUGCCAGCGCCGCCUCUACUGGCCUCCGUGCCGGUGGCACGUAAAAAGCAACAAACGAUCGUGACUGCUGCCAGCCUCCCCUAGCACCUGUGCCGGUGGCACGUAAAAAGCACCAACCACACUCACGGAGUGGUUGGUGUUAGGAAGGGCAUCCAGCUGUAGAAACACUGCCAGAUCAGACUGGAGCCUGAUGCAGCCUCCUGGCUUCCUAGACCCCGGUCAAACUGUCCAACCCAUGCUAGCAUGGAAAACAGACGCUAAACGAUGAUGAUGAUGAUGAUCAAGGCAUCUCAAAUUCACUUGUCUCAGUCUCUGCUCUUGUAAUAACCAUUUCCUUAAGUUUUAUCAUUAGGUCCUUCUGUUCCUCAGUCAUAUCCUCUGGUAAUACAGGUUACUCCAAAUCAUAUCGACCCCUUCCCGUUCCUCCCCACAAGCUUCUCCCCUCUCCUACACCAUUACCUUGCUUUUGCAUUCACUGAUUUUCACCUGCAUUAUCUUCCUCGAGGUUAUCACCACUACAAAGGCUAUUUCUAAUUUUCUAUUUCUUUACUACCCACAAGGGGCUAAACACAGAGAGGACAAACAAGGACAGACAAACGGAUUAAGUCCAUUACAUGGACCCUAGUGCGUAACUGGUACUUAUUUAGUCGACCCCAAAAGGAUGAAAGGUAAAGUCGACCUAGGCGGAAUUUGAACUCAGAACGGCAGACGAAAUACCUAUUUCUUUACUACCCACAAGGGGCCAAACAAGGACAGACAAACAGAUUAAGUCGAUUAUAUCAACCCCAGUGCGUAACUGGUACUUAUUUAGUCGACACCAAAAGGAUGAAAGGCAAAGUCGACCUCGGAGGAAUUUGAACUCAGAACGUAGCAGCAGACGAAAUACCUAUUUCUUUACUACCCACAAGGAGCUAAACAAAGAGGGGACAAACAAGGACAGACAAACGGAUUAAGUUGAUUACAUCAACCCCAGUGCGUAACUGGUACUUAAUUCAUCGACCCCGAAAGGAUGAAAGGCAAAGUCGACCUCGGCGGAAUUUGGACUCAGAACGUAACGGCAGACGAAAUACCACAAAGCAUUUCGCCCUGUGUGCUAACGUUUCUGCCAGCUGCUCGCCACCUUAGAAAGACUAUUUCUGAUUGUCUGAAUUUGGGUUUCAUUAAUAAAGCCUCUAUUCCAAAUCAUUCUUAUCUAUUGAUGAACCCAUUUUCAGUAAUGUGGGACAUGCCCAUCUGGUUCCAAAGUUCUAAUGAUCAUUCUCCAACUGGUUUGCAUUUACCAUUGUUCUUGUCCAGCAAGGAUUGUUCAAAGCACUUAACUGCCGUUUUGUUUAUAUUACAAACCACUUGCAUUUGAGAGCACAUUACUGAUAAUAAUAAUAAUAAUCAUCAUCAUCAUAACUUGCUAAAUUCUGAGUUCAAAUUCUGUCGAGGUUAGCUUUGCCUUUUAUUUAUUCAGGUUUGAUAAAUUAAGUACCAUUGAAACACUUUCAAGCCUUGUGCCUUUAGUAGAAAGGAUUAUUAUUAUUAUUAUUAUUAUUAUUAUUAUUAUUAUUAUUAUUAUUAAGACAUGUUGGGGCAAGCGAAAUCGAAAUCAACCAGCCGGGAUCCCUGGUCUGGUGGUACGUAAAAAGCACUAUCCGACUCGUGGCCGAUGCCAGCGCCGCCUCGACUGGCUUCCGUGCCGGUGGCACAUAAAAUACACCAGUCCGACUGUGGCCGUUGCCAGCCUCGCCUGGCACCUGUGCAGGUGGCACGUAAAAAGCACCCACUACACUCACGGAGUGGUUGGCGUUAGGAAGAGCAUCCAGCUGUAGAAACAUUGCCAGAUAAGACCGGAGCCUGGUGCAGCCUUCUGGCUUCCCAGAACCCCGGUCGAACCGUCCAACCCAUGCUAGCACGGAGAACGGAUGUUAAACGAUGAUGAUGAUGAUGAUGAUGACAUGGUGGAAGUCAGCUACCUGACAGAAUCAUUAGUAUGUUGAACAAAGUACAGGCAUACCUCAGAUUCAGUCAGUUCGAUUUAAGCCUUUCUCAAUUAUGUCUGUUUUCAAAAAUAAAAAUCAAUUUAAUUCACUUUACUCGAGUUUACAUCUGUGCCCCACAUAAUAAUAAUAAAUACCCUGAUGCAGUACCAGGCAGUGGCUCUCAUUGCGUCUGAUCUUAACUGAUUGGAAGUGUUAUCAUGUACAUUGUUUUGUCUUGGUAUAAAAGAUGGGCUACAGCAAAUAUUCUGCUCAAUACCACAGAUUUGCUUGUCAGUUGUUUGACCGUCACCAGUUGAGCAUGUCCCUUAAUGGCUGACGAUAUGUGCAUCUCUGAUCAUGAGCAUAAGUAGUGGGGGAGCAUCAUAGCCAUGUGUUGAGAGGGAUUCUUUGGGGUUUCAAUAAUUCACCUCUGGAAACAUGGGUGUUUCAUUCAAUAUCCUUAAACAAUCCUUAUUCAGGGACCUUUUGAGUGGGAUGGUCUACUCAACCUGAAGAAAAUUCUAACUGGGCCCCACCUGCAAGGUCAUGUGCUGUUUAUCUUGAUUUGAGAUCACCAUGUCGCUCACAUAUGGUUGUGAUGCAUGUGCCUGGUGUACCCUUAUCAGACGGGUAGUCAUGAUAGGUAUACUGGGCUUCAUAUAUUUGUACUCCAGUGUUACUUUGAUGGCAUGCACUGCUCUCUCACUCAAUAAUAAUAAUAAUAAUAAUAAUAAUAAAUUCUUUUAUUAACCACAAGGGCUCACAUAAAACAACAUUAAAUGGCAUGCAACAACAUAAUAGACAAAAACAUACUCAGAAAACUGCCCUUUUUGGGGUCGCAUGGAUUUUAAGAUUGGUAUUUGCAUGUUAAGUAUUGUGGAAAGAGUCCCUGUGAGAUCUUUGACCCCCACCCCCACCCCACCCCCACCCCACCCCCACCCCACCCCCAAAUUUCAGGCCUUGUGCAUAUUGUAGAAAGGAUUAUUAUUAAGGAGGUGAGCUGGCAGAAUUGUUAGCACACUUGGCAGAAUGCUUCGCAGCAUUUUGUCCAUUUUUACAUUCUGAGUUCAAAUUUCACCAAAGUUGACUUUGCCUUUCAUCCAUUCGGAGUAUAUAAAAUGAGUGCCAGUCAGUGAAAUAAGUACCAGUGAUACACUGGGGUUGAUGUAAUCGACUUACACCCUCCCCCAGAAUUUCAGGCCUUGUGCUUAUAGUUGAUAGGAUUAAUUAUUAUUAUUAUUAUUAUUAUUAUUGAGUGAGAGAGCAGUGCAUGCCAUCAAAGUGACACUGGGGUAAAAUAUACGAAGCCCAAUAUACCCAUCAUGACUACCCGUCUGAUAAGGGUACACCAGGCACAUGCAUCACAACCAUAUGUGCACGACAUGGUAAUCUCAUAUCAAGAUAAACAGCACAUAACCUUGCAGGUGGGGCCCAGUUAGAAUUUUCUUCUGGUCAAGUAACCCAUCCCACUCAAAAGGUCCCUGAAUAAGGAUUGUUUAAGGAUAUUGAAUGAAACACCCAUGUUUCCAGAGGUGAAUUAUUGAAACCCCAAAGAAUCCCUCUCAACACAUGGCUAUGAUGCUCCCCCACUACUUUUGCUCGUGAUCAGAGAUGCACAUAUCGUCAACCACCAAAGAACAUGCUCAACUGGUUAAGGUCAAACAACUGACAAGCAAAUCUGUGGUAUUGAGCAGAAUAUUUGCUGUGGCCCAUCUUUUUAUACCUAUUAUUAUUAUUAUUAUUAUUAUUCUUUCCUAUUCUAGGCACAAGGCCUGAAAUUUUUGGGGAGUGGGGGCCAGUCGAUUAGAUCAACCCCAGUACUUAACUGGUACUUAAUUUAUCGACCCCGAAAGAAUGAAAGGCAAAGUCGACCACGGCGGAAUUUGAACUCAGAACGUAGCGGCAGACGAAAUACCGCUAAGCAUUUUGGCCAGCGUGCUAACAUUUCUGCUAGCUUGCCUUAUUAUUAAUAUUAUUAUUAUUAUUGAGUGAGAGAGCAGUUCAUGCCAUCAAAGUGACACUGGGGUAAAAUAUACGAAGCCCAAUAUACCCAUCAUGACUAUCCGUCUGAUAAAGGUACACUAGGCACAUGCAUGACAACCAUAUGUGCGCGACAUGGUGAUCUCAUAUCAAGAUAAACAGCACAUGACCUUGCAGGUGGGGCCCAGUUAGAAUUUUCUUCUGGUCAAGUAACCCAUCCCGCUCAAACGGUCCCUGAAUAAGGGUUGUUUAAGGAUGUUGAAAGAACCACCCAUGUUUCCAGCGGUGAACUAUUCAAACCCCAAAGAAUCCCUCUCAACACAUGGCUAUCAUGCUCCCCCACUACUUAUGCUCGUGAUCAGAGAUGCACAUAUCGUCAGCCACUAAGGGACAUGAUCAACUGGUUACGGUCAAACAACUGACAAGCAAAUCUGUGGUAUUCAGCAGAAUAUUUGCUGUAGCCCAUCUUUUAUACCAAGACAAAACAAUGUACAUGAUAACACUUCCAAUCAGUUAAGAUCAGAAGCCAUGAGAGCCACUGCCUGGUACUGCAUCAGGGCAUUUAUUAUUAUUAUUAUUUUUAUUAUUAUUAUUAUUAUUAUUAAUAUUAUUAUUAUUAUUAUUAUUAUUAUUAUUAUUAUUAUUAGUAGUAGUAGUAGUUCUAUUAAGGCAGCGAGCUGGUGGGAUUGUUGGCACGGCAGGCAGAAUGCUUAGCGAUAUUUCAACCAUCUUUAUGUCCUGAGUUCAAAUUCUGCCGAGGGUGACUUUGCCUUUCAUCAUUUCGGGGGUCGAUAAAUUAAGUACCAGUGGAACGCUGGGGUCCAUGUAAUCAACUAGUCCUCUCUCCCACAAAAUUUCAGGCCUUGUGCCUAUAGUAGAAAGGAAUAUUAUUGAUUCAGUUAUUUAUAUAAUUUCCCAUUUUCAUGAAACACAUGUUGAGUCGUUUCAAUUAUUUGGCUCUAACAAUUUUGUAUUGAUUAAUAUUGACAGACCAACUGCAAAUUAUCAGCUAUAUUUUUUUAAAAAAUGUAAGCUACCCAAAACUAUAGGGAAGUUCAUGCAAAUACUUGUAAUUUAGUCUAUAUAUAUAAAGCUGAAGUUGUCUGUGUAUGGCAGGUUUGGUAGCCUUCACCUAACACUAUCUCCUCCGAGACCCUGUGGCGCAAGUUGACCAAAAUUGAGAGUAUGAUAGAAGAAGGCUUGCUUUUCCUUCCCUAGAAGAAAAAAAUUCAAUUCGGACCAUGUUAACAUCAAAAAUUAUUUACAUCAAAAAGGUGCUUUUUUUCUAUGAAAAUCCCUAUUUUUGACAAUUUUUUGACUGCUGUGUUGCCAUUUUUCAGUGUAUUUCAACCAGAAAAAUGUUCACUUAAAGAGAAUAACAAGCUACAUAAUACAAAAUUUUUACUUUUCAAAAAUUCCAAUUCUAAAGGGUUGAAACAAACCUGAGCAACGCCGGGCAAUACUGGUAGUCUAUAUAUAUAAAGUUGAAGUUGUCUGUGUGUGUGUGGCAGGUUUGGUAGCCUUCACCUAACACUAUCUCCUCCGAGACCCUGUUGCGCAUGUUGACCAAAAUUGAGAGUAUGAUAGAAGAAGGCUUGCUCUUCCUUCCGUAGAAGAAAAAAUUCAAAUCGGACUGUGUUAACAUCAAAAAUUAUUUACAUCAAAAAGGUACUGUUUUUCUACGAAAAUCCCUAUUUUUUUACAAUUUUUUGACUGAUGUGUCGCCAUUUUUCGGUGUAUUUCAACCAGAAAAAUGUUCACUCAAAGAGAAUAACAAGCUACAUAAUUAAAAAUUUUUACUUUUCAAAAAUUCCAAUUCUAAAGGGUCGAAACAAACCCGAGCAACGCCGGGUGAUACUGCUAGUUAUUAAUACAUCCGGAUAGGGCAGGAUACUGCUAGAGUCUAUACCUAACUAAAGUGGAGGUAUAUGGCUUAGUGGUUAGAGCAAUGGACUCACAGUCGAGGGAUCGUGGGUUCGAAUCUCAGACUGGGUGUUGUGUGUGUUUAUGAGCGAAACACCUAAGCUCUAUGUGGCUCUGAUAGAAGGUAUUGGGGAACUUCUGCCGACCCUUUCGCCCACAACUUUCUCUCACUCUUUCCUCCUGCAUCAUCUUGCAGGUCAUCUGCGACGGACUGGCAUCCCGAUGAAACCAGGAAAUCGGCCCUUAUUGAGCCAGGCGUGGCUCGAGACGGAUCAAACAACAAAAGCAUGCCUGACUAAAUGUUUUCUGUGUGGGCAUGGCAACUAAUGGAAUCAAUGACAAAAUCCCGUCUUUUCGAUGUUUUUAUAAACACAACAAAAGUAUGUGGUUUAAAGGAGGUACAGCUGCUAUUAUUAGUGGUAAUGUCCUUCAACAGCUUGUUAAAUAUUAAUCUAAAUUGUUGAUGCAAUAUGAAUAAUGAUGGUAAUUAUUGCUGUAAAUAUUGUAACCAUGCAUACAGAUGUUACAAAACUAUAUCGAAUGAAACUUAAAGCUACAUACUACAAAAGUUUUUAAUCUCUCUCUAUAUAAAGCUGAAGUUGUCUGUGUAUGGCAGGUUUGGUAGCCUUCAAUUUACACUAUCUCCUCCGAGACCCUGUGGCGCAAGUUGACCAAAAUUGAGAGUAUUAUAGAAGAAGGCCUGCUCUUCAUUCCGUAGAAGAAAAAAUUCAAAUCGGACCAUGUUAACACCAAAAAUUACUUACAUCAAAAAGGUGCUUUUUUUCUAUGAAAAUCCCUAUUUUUGACAAUUUUUUGACUGCUGUGUUGCCAUUUUUCAGUGUAUUUCAACCAGAAAAAUGUUCACUUAAAGAGAAUAACAAGCUACAUAAUACAAAAUUUUUACUUUUCAAAAAUUCCAAUUCUAAAGGGUUGAAACAAACCUGAGCAACGCCGGGCAAUACUGGUAGUCUAUAUAUAUAAAGUUGAAGUUGUCUGUGUGUGUGUGGCAGGUUUGGUAGCCUUCAACUAACACUAUCUCCUCCGAGACCCUGUUGCGCAAGUUGACCAAAAUUGAGAGUAUGAUAGAAGAAGGCUUGCUUUUCCUUCCCUAGAAGAAAAAAAUUCAAUUCGGACCAUGUUAACAUCAAAAAUUAUUUACAUCAAAAAGGUGCUUUUUUUUCUAUGAAAAUCCCUAUUUUUUUACGAUUUUUUGACUGCUGUGUCGCCAUUUCUCGGUGUAUUUCAACCAGAAAAAUGUUCACUUAAAGAGAAUAACAAGCUACAUAAUGCAAAAUUUUUACUUUUCAAAAAUUCCAAUUCUAAAGGGUCAAAACAAACCCGAGCAACACCGGGCAAUACUGGUAGUCUAUCUAUAUAUAUAAACCUGAAGUUGUCUGUGUAUGGCAGGUUUGGUAGCCUUCAACUAGCAUUAUCUCCUCCGAGACCAGGCGAUACUGCUAGUUAAUACAUAAAGCAAACAUGUGGAAUUGUAGCAGAAAUAGCUAAUCAUUAAAUGGUUCUGCUACAACAAAUUGUUGUAUUGAUAAUGUAAAACCUGUUUUUAUUGUGGUUGUGUGGUUAAGAAAUUUGCUUUGCAGCUCCGUGGCUUUGGGUUCAGUUCCAUUGCAUGGCACCUUCUUGAUUGAAUGUGCUCUAGUAUAUAUUUCUUUACUAUCCACAAGGGGCUAAACACAGAGGGGACAAACAAGGACAGACAAACGGAUUAAGUCGAUUAGAUCGACCCCAGUGCGUAACUGGUACUUAAUUUAUCGACCCCGAAAGGAUGAAAGGCAAUGUCGAUCUCGGUGGAAUUUGAACUCAGAACGCAGUGGCGGACGAAAUACCGCAAAGCAUUUCGCCCGGCGUGCUAACGUUUCAGCCAGCUCGCCGCCUGUAUAGCCUAGUAUAGCCAGAGACUGAUCGAUGCCUUGUGAGUAGAAUUUGUGGUUGGAAACUGCAUUGAAGCCUGUCAUAUUUCGAUGUAGGCAUGGCUGUGUGGUAAGAAGUUUGCUUCCACAGCCACAUAGUUCCAGGACCAAAGCCCAAUGAGAUUUGGUAGAAACCUAUUGUGGCUGCGUGUACCUAAGUGUGAGUAUGCAUGUGUUUCUAUCUGUAUUUGUCUCCUACUACUGCUUGGAAACCAGUGGUGGUCUAUUCUUUUACUCUUUUACUGGUUUCAGUCAUUUGACUGCGGCCAUGCUGGAGCACCGCCUUUUGUCGAACAAAUCGACCACGGGACUUAUUCUUUGUAAGCCCAGUACUUAUUCUAUCGGUCUCUUCUGCCGAACCGCUAAGUGACGGGGGAUGUAAACACACCAGCAUCAGUUGUCAAGCAAUGCUAGGGGGACAAACACAUAUACAUAUAUAUACACACAUAUAUACGACAGGCUUCUUUCAGUUUCCGUCUACCAAAUCCACUCACAAGUCAUUGGUCGGCCCGGGGCUAUAGCAGAAGACACUUGCCCAAGGUGCCACGCAGUGGGACUGAACCCGGAACCAUGUAGUUGGUUAGCAAGCUACUUACCACACAGCCACUCCUGCGUUUACAUUCUUAUAACUUAGUGGUUUGACAAAAGAAAGUAAAACUGCAUGUGUUGUGAACUUAGAAUAUGUGUUUAUUAAUAAAAGAUUAAUAACGAUAAUCUUUUAUUCCUACGAACGUAACUGAUAUGAAACAUGUCAUAAAUAACAGGGACACAUUGAUAUGACACCGCAAGAAACUGUUGUUGACAAACAACCGCAGAAAUUGUAUUCACCUCAAUAGACGUCAUUGAUUGGUUGAAAUUGCCGAAAUGCAAGAAAUAGCUUACAAACUACAGAAUUUUCUCAAGAAAGCCAAGAGAGAAAGAUGUUUUAUAAACACAUUUCUACCAGUAUACGAAGUUUAAAAGUGUUUAGUUACAAAGAAAUUAUUUUUAAAAUCUGCCAGUCAAAGUGCAAAGAUUCGGGAAUUUUAAUAGAUAGAUAGAUAGAGAGAGAGAGAGGAGAGUGAAAGAGAGAAGAUAUGGUAAGAAUAGAGAUUUUUUGAGAAAGAGAGAGUCAAUGAAUCAAGAUAGACAACAAAAUGAAAAAAGGCGUAACUUCGGUAUAAGUACCAGAUACGUUUCAAGAAAGUGUUUCUUUUUUAUAUAUAUGGGGUGGGGUUAGGGUUAGGGUUUGUGUUAGGGUUAGGGUUGGGAGAAAAGGGUUUCUGUUAUCUUCAGAAAUGUAAACAAAGCCACGUGAGUACCUAUACCGAAGGAUCGCCAAAGGAAAGAUAUAUCACGGACGAGAGAAAAGAUAAGAUAGAAGAAAGGAAAAGUGAGAGAGAGAGAGA
rnacentral:lncRNA from 1 species